rnacentral:rRNA from 1 species
UACGUAGGGGGCAAGCGUUGUCCGGAAUUAUUGGGCGUAAAGAGCGCGUAGGCGGUCCGAUAAGUCGGCUGUGAAAGUCAGGGGCUCAACCCUUGAAAGCCGGCCGAUACUGUCGGACUAGAGUCCGGAAGAGGCGAGUGGAAUUCCCGGUGUAGCGGUGAAAUGCGCAGAUAUCAGGAGGAACACCGAUGGCGAAGGCAGGUCUCUGGGCAUUAACUGACGCUGAGGAGCGAAAGCAUGGGGAGCGAACAGG